rnacentral:rRNA from 1 species
UACGUAGGGGGCAAGCGUUGUCCGGAUUUAUUGGGCGUAAAGAGCGUGUAGGCGGCCAGGUAGGUCCGUUGUGAAAACUGGAGGCUUAACCUCCAGCUGUCGAUGGAAACCAUCUGGCUAGAGUCCGGAAGAGGAGAGUGGAAUUCCUGGUGUAGCGGUGAAAUGCGCAGAUAUCAGAAAGAACACCCGUGGCGAAGGCGGCUCUCUGGGACGGUACUGACGCUGAGACGCGAAAGCGUGGGGAGCGAACAGG